rnacentral:rRNA from 1 species
CAUGCAAGUCGAACGGUAACAGGUCUUCGGAUGCUGACGAGUGGCGAACGGGUGAGUAAUACAUCGGAACGUGCCCAGUAAUGGGGGAUAGCUCGGCGAAAGCCGGAUUAAUACCGCAUACGCCCUGAGGGGGAAAGUGGGGGAUCGCAAGACCUCACGUUAUUGGAGCGGCCGAUGGCUGAUUAGCUAGUUGGUAGGGUAAAGGCCUACCAAGGCGACGAUCAGUAGCUGGUCUGAGAGGACGAUCAGCCACACUGGGACUGAGACACGGCCCAGACUCCUACGGGAGGCAGCAGUGGGGAAUUUUGGACAAUGGGGGAAACCCUGAUCCAGCAAUGCCGCGUGUGCGAAGAAGGCCUUCGGGUUGUAAAGCACUUUUGUCAGGGAAGAAAUCCUUUGGGCUAAUACCCUAGGGGGAUGACGGUACCUGAAGAAUAAGCACCGGCUAACUACGUGCCAGCAGCCGCGGUAAUACGUAGGGUGCAAGCGUUAAUCGGAAUUACUGGGCGUAAAGCGUGCGCAGGCGGUUGUGUAAGACAGGUGUGAAAUCCCCGGGCUUAACCUGGGAAUUGCAUUUGUGACUGCACGACUAGAGUGUGUCAGAGGGGGGUGGAAUUCCACGUGUAGCAGUGAAAUGCGUAGAUAUGCGGAGGAACACCAAUGGCGAAGGCAAUCCCCUGGGCCUGUACUGACGCUCAUGCACGAAAGCGUGGGGAGCAAACAGGAUUAGAUACCCUGGUAGUCCACGCCCUAAACGAUGUCAACUGGUUGUUGGACGGCUUGCUGUUCAGUAACGAAGCUAACGCGUGAAGU